rnacentral:rRNA from 1 species
GGCGAGGCGAGCAGCCAAAGAUCUAAAUUGAAAAUCUGGCCUUCGGUGUCCGAGUUGUAAUUUGAAGAAGGUAACUUUGGAGUUGGCUCUUGUCUAUGUUCCUUGGAACAGGACGUCACAGAGGGUGAGAAUCCCGUGCGAUGAGAUGCCCAAUUCUAUGUAAAGUGCUUUCGAAGAGUCGAGUUGUUUGGGAAUGCAGCUCUAAGUGGGUGGUAAAUUCCAUCUAAAGCUAAAUAUUGGCGAGAGACCGAUAGCGAACAAGUACAGUGAUGGAAAGAUGAAAAGAACUUUGAAAAGAGAGUGAAAAAGUACGUGAAAUUGUUGAAAGGGAAGGGCUUGAGAUCAGACUUGGUAUUUUGCGAUCCUUUCCUUCUUGGUUGGGUUCCUCGCAGCUUACUGGGCCAGCAUCGGUUUGGAUGGUAGGAUAAUGACUAAGGAAUGUGGCUCUACUUCGGUGGAGUGUUAUAGCCUUGGUUGAUACUGCCUGUCUAGA